rnacentral:rRNA from 1 species
GUCUCUUUGUUAAUAAAUAUAUAAAGAGUUGGGCCUGCUCGGUGAAAUAUAUUUGUUUUUAACAGCUGCGGUAUUUUAACUGUACUAAGGUAGCAUAAUAAUUUGCCUUAUAAUUUGAGGCUAGAAUGAAUGGUUUGACGAAGGUUAAUCUGUCUCUAUCUUAUUUUUUAGAAUUUAAUUUUUAAAGUGAAAAAGCUUGGAUUUUUUAAAGGGACGAGAAGACCCUAAUGAGCUUGUAAUUUUAUUAGUAUUAUGCUAUUAGAUUGGUAUAAUGGUGAAUAAUUUUAGUUGGGGUGAUUAAGGAAUAAUUAUGGUAAUAACUUCCUUAGAAUAUAUUUAUUUUGUUAUAAAGUAACCAAUAAAUUAUUGCUUAUAUUAUAGUUACCAUAGGGAUAACAGCGUAAUUCAUUUAGAGAGUUCUUAUUGAAAAAUGAGAUUGCGACCUCGAUGUUGGAUUGAAGUAUCCUUAAGGUGUAGAAGCUUUGGUAGGUAAAUCUGUUCGAUUUUUAAAACUUUACA